rnacentral:miRNA from 1 species
AGUAGAGACGGGGUUUCACCAUGUUGGUCAGGCUGGUCUCAAACUCCUGACCUCAGGUGAUCCACCCAC